GAAGACUGGCGUGCUGCAAUCCAUGGGGGUGCAAAGAGUCAGACACAACUGAGUGACUGAACAAGAACCAUUAUCUAACUUAAUCACUUUCCAAAGAGUUCUGCGAUUAUCUAUUAUCUUCCCUUUACUUUUGAGGGACAAAUGAGGUUAAUUUUCUGUUGAGUGGUAGAUAGACACCCCAGAAAAGACACAUUAGGUUAUUUUCUACUAAAUGUCAUUAUCCCUCUAGUACUGAAUACCAGGAAAUAUUCUGCUUAUCCAAAUAAACAUAUUUAUUUUCAUAUUUUAACAUUUCUUAAAAUCAAGAGCCUUUUAAACUCCAUUGAUUACUACAUUCAGUGUGACAGUAUUUCUUUUUUCACUGGAAAACUGUCUCUAAAUCACUGGUAAGGCAUGCACCGAAGAAAUCACAAAACUGAAGAAAAAUAGCAGUAAUAAAUUACCAUUUGUCUCUUAGAAAUAAUUCAGAGAUAAAGGAAAUCAAUUCCUUUAAAGGAGAAUUGAUUAAAAAUUAGCUUUUCUAUUACUUUUAGGGCCUUUUUACUGCUGCGUUUGGGCAGGAGGCAGGGUGGCAGGAAAGCAGAGGCACAGGUACUGAAUUUGUUGAAGGCACAUGUCUGUUUAUCCAUGGCUAAGAUGUCUUAACUUGCUCAUGUGGUAUCUAAAGUCAUUAGCAAUCACAACAAACAGAGGAGUUUCAUGGAAGCAUAAGAGUUUACUGGCAGAGAAGUUUUUUUUAUGACUCACCAAGUAAAAGCAAUGUGAAGCCCGACAAGGCCAAGGAGGGUAACUUCACCUUAAACGUCACCAGCUAGAUCUUCAGGUUCCUUUACAUACUGGAUGAUAUGGGAGCAUAUAUGUUAACAAGUCCAGGAUACAGCACAACAAUGAAUGCCCUUCUUGAGAAAUGUGAUCAUGGGGAAGAAAAGGUUGAGAAACACUGUGCUUCAGAAUUCAAAAGCAAGCAUUGUUACUGAAAAUGAAGAACACCACCUUCAGACAACGCUCAACCUGCAAAAUAGCAGAUGCUGGCAGCACCUCACCUUGAACCCCUCACCCCUUACGUGAUUCCAGUACAGGCCAAACUGCAAGCAUGUGCAAGUCUUCACAUGAGGGUUUCUCUCUGACUACGAGGUGGGAAAGUUACGUGUUUUUUUGUUUGUUUGUUUUUCCUUUUAUUUUUAUUAGUUAGGUUAAGUGUUCUUGAGAGCUUCCCUAAACCAGUAACCAGCAGAGCUCCUUAACUCCUCUGGUGGGAUCAAUGUGAGAUAUGAUUGACACUGUCUUUUACCUCAACAGAAAAAUUUAGUCUUAGUUGCUGAUAAAGCACAUUCCAUAUUGGCUUAUUCUCCCCUUUCCCAGGACCACUCCCAAUACCCUCCCCACUGAUGCUUCCUGGCAUCAAUUUCCAAAUAAACUAUUUCCACUCACAGUUUUGUCUGCUGCCAGGGAAAUCCAACACAAGACAACCUCUUAAUUCUGAAUGAAAGCUAUGGACAUCCUACGAAAAUGUAAACAUAAAAAUUUAUGUAUGUUCAAAGAGUUUAGAAACAACCCAAAAGGCAUACAAAUAUCUCAGUUUAAAGAAUCCUUCCUUCCUACAGGUUCAGGAUAGCUGAGAUAUUAAAUAUGUUUUUGAAAGUGUUUCACUGAGAUUCUUCAGCUAUGUUGAAAAACUAACAUCCUCACCUCUUACUCUUCACUACUGCUAUAGAAUUAUCAUUAUCUCAGUAUUUAGUUCUCAUGUGCACAAAAUCUAAUCUAACUGAAUGAAAUUCAAACUGUUGACUUAAUUUCCACACUUUAAAAAGAAAAAUAAAAUUUCCUAGAGUGACUGCUUUACUAAGACUGGGUCCCUUAUAAAGUUACAGUUACAGUUCAGUCACUCAGUGGUGUCCGACUCCUUGCCAUCCCAUAGGGUGCAACAUGCAGGCUUUUCUGUCCAUCACCAACUCCCAGAGCUUGAUCAAACUCAUGUCCAUCGAGUCGGUG